GUGCCAAAUUACCUUUGAGUUUGUAGACCAGGAACAGUUGAAAGAUCCAGUGUGCUACCUUAAGAAGGCAUUUCUCCUGGUACAAGACAUAAUGGAGGACACCAUGCGCUUCAGAGAUAACACCCCCAAUGCCAUCGCCAUUGUGCAGCUGCAGGAACUCUCUUUGAGACUGAAGAGCUGCUUCACCAAGGAUUAUGAAGAGCAUGACAAGGCCUGCGUCCGAACUUUCUAUGAGACACCUCUCCAGUUGCUGGAGAAGGUCAAGAAUGUCUUUAAUGAAACAAAGAAUCUCCUUGACAAGGACUGGAAUAUUUUCAGCAAGAACUGCAACAACAGCUUUGCUGAAUGCUCCAGCCAAGGCUGGCUGAACGUGUGGGGGGUUCUGUGGAGACAGCUGACACCCAUCUGGGAGUGAGGGCCUUGCUCCAGGAGCUCUGCUGCGAAUCACCAUGAUACCCUGGCUCCAGAAGUCCCCAGGAUGCCUUGGGUGUUUCCUCAAGGGACAAGGCUGGAUUUGAAGUCUGAGCAUCAUUGGAACUCCCAGGGCUGGCUCAGCUGCAUACAUGUGUACA
rnacentral:sRNA from 1 species